GGGUCAGUAGGUUGGUCGUGCCACCGGUACGUACUGGUCUCACUGAUUCCUCCUUCCUGAAGAACCGUAAUGCCAUUAAUUUGGUGUUGCGGGGGAACAGGACUGUUACUUUGAAAAAAUUAGAGUGUUUAAAGCAAGCUAACGCUUGAAUACAUUAGCAUGGAAUAAUGAAAUAGGACGAUCGAUCCUAUUUUGCUGGUUUCUAGGAUUGACGUA
rnacentral:rRNA from 1 species